rnacentral:rRNA from 1 species
CAAAUGUUCUUCGUGAACAUGGCAGACUGCUCAGUAACACGUGGAUAACCUACCCUAAGGACAGGAAUAACCCCGGGAAACUGGGGAUAAUACCUGAUAAAUUAGAGAUGCUGGAAUGCCCUCUAAUUCAAAGGUCCGCCGCCUUAGGAUGGAUCUGCGGCUCAUCAGGUAGUAGUGGGUGUAACGUACCUACUAGCCUACGACGAGUACGGGUUGUGAGAGCAAGAGCCCGGAGAUGGAUUCUGAGACACGAAUCCAGGCCCUACGGGGUGCAGCAGGCGCGAAACCUUUACAAUGUGCGAAAGCAUGAUAAGGGAACUCCGAGUGCCAGUAUCUAAUACUGGCUGUCCUUGUGCCUAAAACGCACAAGAUAGCAAGGGCCGGGUAAGACCGGUGCCAGCCGCCGCGGUAACACCGGCGGCCCGAGUGGUAGCCGCUAUUAUUGGGUCUAAAGGGUCCGUAGCCGGUUCGAUAAGUCCUCUGGGAAAUCUGGUUGCUUAACAAUCAGACUGCCAAGGGAUACUGUCGAACUUGAGACCGGGAGAGGUAAGAGGUACUUCAGGGGUAGGAGUGAAAUCUUGUAAUCCCUGGGGGACCAUCUGUGGCGAAGGCGUCUUACCAGAACGGGUCUGACGGUGAGGGACGAAAGCUGGGGGCGCAAACCGGAUUAGAUACCCGGGUAGUCCCAGCCGUAAACGAUGCUCGCUAUGUGUCAGGUACGGUGUGACCGUAUCUGGUGCCGUAGGGAAGCCGUGAAGCG